ACUGUUCCCUGGGAUUGGCUUUGGGCCUUUCCUGCGCAGCUUAGGUGGAAGGCGAAGAAGGCCUCCUUCCGGGGGGUCCGAGCCAUCAGUGAGAUACCACUCUGGAAGAGCUAGAUAUUCUAACCUUGUGUCAGGACGUACGGGCCAAGGACAGUCUCAGGUAGGACAGUUUCUAUGGGGCGUAGGCCUCACCAAAAGGUAACGGAGGCGUUGCAAAGGUUUCCUCGGGCCGGACGGAGAUUGGCCCUCGAGUGCAAAGGCAGAAGGGAGCUUGGACUGCAAGACCACCCGUCGAGCAGGGACGAAAGUCGGCCUUAGUGAUCCGACGGUGCCGAGGGAAGGNNNNNNNNNNNNN
rfam:Helianthus annuus linkage group 7, whole genome shotgun sequence.